AAAGUAGAGGGGCGGUCAUCAGUGUUCCACGAUGCAAAGGAAGAAAGAGAGAUGGAGAAAGGCUCGAGGAGAGUAGCAGUACCGUGCGAGUCCAACACUCCAGUCACCGAUCGGAUGUACGAGUAGCCGGUCGUGCAAUAAAGUAAUCGUGAAUUUCCGUGUUUUUGCUUUUCGCAAAAGUGUCUUACCGUGUUAUCUGGCCGCACUCUGGACCAGGUGUACAACCGUAAAAGUGCGACGUGUGACGUUUCCAUUAGUGAAAUGUGUACAGCGACGUUGUGCGGCUGAUCAUGAUGUGAUGAUCAAAGGAGAGAACGUGACAAGCUACGACCUGAUCGUUGGGAUUCAACGGGCUGUGUCAACCAGAUCAACGACUUGAGCAUUUAUCGACCUUUACUGUAGAAAUACGAA